rnacentral:lncRNA from 1 species
UCUAUCUAGGUAAGAACUAGAAAGAAAUUUUCAAACAAGACUCAACCCAAUGAGGAUAUAACUCGAGGGGAGUGGCUCCAUCAAGAUAACGGACUGGGAAGGAAACUGAAAUAAUAAUCAUCCACUAGGAAAUAACUCAGUAGGGAAAGGAGAGAAGAUAAACUUUUUCUGCUUAGGGGGCUGACACUCUAUAAUUGAAGGAGGACAGACACACCAAAUCUGCAUGGGGAAACAAUAUCACCAAAGUAGAGGAUCAGAAUAAAGAUCAAUGCGAUAAAAAAU